rnacentral:rRNA from 1 species
CGGGUGCACUGAUCCAGCCGGGCCUUUCCCUCUGUGGAACCCCAUGGCCUUCACUGGCUGUGGUGGGGAAACAGGACUUUUACUUUGAAAAAAUUAGAGUGCUCCAGGCAGGCCUAUGCUCGAAUACAUUAGCAUGGAAUAAUAGAAUAGGACGUGUGGUUCUAUUUUGUUGGUUUCUAGGACCGCCGUAAUGAUUAAUAGGGACAGUCGGGGGCAUCAGUAUUCAAUUGUCAGAGGUGAAACUCUUGGAUCUAUUGAAGACUAACUACUGCGAAAGCAUUUGCCAAGGAUGUUUUCAUUGAUAAGGAACGAAAGUUAGGGGAUCGAAGACGAUCAGAUACCGUCGUAGUCUUAACUAUAAACUAUGCCGACUAGGGAUCGGACGAUGUUAUUCUUUGACGCGUUCGGCACCUUUCGAGAAAUCAAAGUGCUUGGGCUCCAGGGGGAGUAUGGUCGCAAGGCUGAAACUUAAAGAAAUUGACGGAAGGGCACCACCAGGGGUGGAACCUGCGGCUUAAUUUGACUCAACACGGGGAAACUCACCAGGUCCAGACACAGUGAGGAUUGACAGAUUGAGAGCUCUUUCUUGAUUCUGUGGGUGGUGGUGCAUGGCCGUUCUUAGUUGGUGGAGUGAUUUGUCUGCUUAAUUGCGAUAACGAACGAGACCUUAACCUGCUAAAUAGCCCGUACUGCUUUGGCAGUUCGCCGGCUUCUUAGAGGGACUAUCGG